CAGGUGCUGCAUGGCUGUCGUCAGCUCGUGUCGUGAGAUGUUGGGUUAAGUCCGCAACGAGCGCAACCCUUGUCUUAUGUUGCCAGCACGUGAUGGUGGGGACUCAUGAGAGACUGCCGGGGUUAACUCGGAGGAAGGUGGGGAUGACGUCAAAUCAUCAUGCCCCUUAUGUCCAGGGCUUCACACAUGCUACAAUGGUCGGUACAACGCGUGUGCGACACUGUGAGGUGAAGCUAAUCGCUCUAAAGCCGGUCGUAGUUCGGAUUGGGGUCUGCAACUCGACCCCAUGAAGUCGGAGUCGCUAGUAAUCGCAGAUCAGCAACGCUGCGGUGAAUACGUUCCCGGGCCUU
rnacentral:rRNA from 1 species